AAAUGAAGAGAAAGGCUUGCACAUGUAAUCGAAACACACAAAAGAAUUAUCAUAUUGUAUGCGGUCUCAGAUUUCAUGUUUCACAACAAUUGUUGGCCUGUAAAAUAUUAAUCUUCCCCGAUACACGGUUUAACGAAUGUUUGAAGAUCCACACCGAUGCAUAUCUUAAGAGGUGCCGUGUAGUCUAAUCUUUAUAGGUGUGGAAUGUAAAACAGCAAAUAAUCACUUUCAUUAAGAACCAUAUAUAUCCAAAUUGUAUG
rnacentral:lncRNA from 1 species